rnacentral:rRNA from 1 species
CUUGGUCAUUUAGAGGAAGUAAAAGUCGUAACAAGGUUUCCGUAGGUGAACCUGCGGAAGGAUCAUUAUUGAAAUAAACCUGAUGGGUUGUCGCUGGUUCUCUAGGGAGCAUGUGCACGCCUUCAGGUCUAUCUUGCUUUUUCAUUUACCCCAAUGUAUGUUAAUAGAAUGUUGUGACUAUAAAAUCUAUACAACUUUCAGCAACGGAUCUCUUGGCUCUCGCAUCGAUGAAGAACGCAGCGAAAUGCGAUAAGUAAUGUGAAUUGCAGAAUUCAGUGAAUCAUCGAAUCUUUGAACGCACCUUGCGCUCCUUGGUAUUCCGAGGAGCAUGCCUGUUUGAGUGUCAUUAAUAUAUAUCAACCUUCUCUUUACUGAGUGGUUUGGAUGUGGGGGUUUGCUGGCCUCUUAUAUGAGUUCAGCUCCCCUGAAAUGCAUUAGCAGAACAACCCGUUCGUUGGCGUGAUAACUAUCUACGCUAUUGAAUGUGAGGGACAGUUCAGCUUUCUAACAGUCCUUGGACAACUUAUCAUUUAUGUGACCUCAAAUCAGGUAGGACUACCCGCUGAACUUAAGCAUAUCAAUAAGCGGAGGA